ensembl:lncRNA
CCCGUCCCUUCGGAAGCCAGGCGCCUGGGAGCUGGGGCGCGAGGGCAGGCGCGGAGGCAUCGCCGCGGGGCGCAGGGCGCCCCACCUUCCCGCCCGGGUCGGCUGGUUCGUCGCUGCCCACGCUGGCAGCUCGCUGCUUUCCCCAACUACCUGUCUGCGUAGCCCGAGGGGCCCCCAGGCCCGGCCCGCCUCUCCCGGGCGUCCCCCACCGCACCCGGGAGCGCUCUCCGGGGAGCCCGGCGGUGCCCCGUGCCUCUCCCCCUGGGCCUCUCUCUGCGCUUUUGUGGCCUCCACCCCGCGACGCGACACAGCCUUGGCGGAGUCACCCCUCCCACCCGGGAGUUUGCAGUGUGGACGCCCGCCCGCGAGCGAGCACACUGUUGACAGCAAUGCCAUGCCAUGUCCUGACCUUGUGGCGAGAGGAAAAGGAAGCAGGACAGCCUGAGCCCCCAGCAUUCACGGGUCUGGAGAAGUGCUAGAAGGAUUUCCAUUCGGUGCUCUGUGUGCAAGGCGUGGGAAGACCUUGGUGCUGCGGGCUGACAUGCCAGGACCCCUGACCUGUGUCCGGCUUUGGUGACAGCUGAAGGAGUGACAUGAUCAAGACCUAGCCCGGCGUGGCUGCCAACCUACGCGCCCUGGGAGAACAUAAGGAAGACAUCUCCGGUGUCACAAAUGCACCGGACUGACCCUAAAGCAAACUUGGAAUCGAAGUGAGCACUUCCACCCACAGGUCUGGAGCUGGGGGAGGAACUCGGGGCUGAAGACUGGAUUCAGGAGUCCUUGGUCUCCACUGAAGUGGAGUGAGGAGCAGGUCAGACUCACUGCGAUCCCAGCCUCCAAGGGGCAAAGGGCACCAUCCCCCAAGAUGAGGAGGAGAACAAUUUGAAGAGACUCUUUGCCUCAGGAGAAGACCCAUGAAAGAGGAGUGGCCCAGGUGGCAGGAGACCCACAGAGUGUGCAGGAGGCUGAAGCAGCCUGGCCCAGCACCUUGUCCUCUGCAGAGGCCCCUGUCACUCACCAAGUCCAGCACCACACCUAGGUCACCCUGAGCACCAAGCCAGUGUGGGCAGUCGAGGGACAUCCCUGGGCAGCUUUCCUGUCACCCUGGACUGUGCUGGUCAUCAGCUGGGCACUCUGUUCCCUGUGGUGUGAGGAUUUGGUCCACACCGUCCACACACUGCCCAUCCUCCCUGGUCACUGCAGAUGCAGGCGGUGACCCUACUGGGUGAGGCUGGCAGUGCAGUGCAAGGCGACUGCCCUCAGGGAGGUCUGCUAGCACCAAACAGAGCCAGAUCAUUAGGAAAACACUGAAGUGCAAAAGGGGAGAAGGGCAGGUUUGGCCAGUGCCAUUUUCACCACUGUUGGCUGCUUCUCUACUAGUAGAGUAGCUGGCUGUGUGGCUUCAAUGUCAAGAUUACUGAGUUCAAAGCCUGUGUCUCCCUGUGUGGCCCUUGCACAGGUGACCCCAGCUAUGGGUGCCAAGCUCUGUGGCUGUGAAAGGAGGGCCCACUUCGCAGCAUGCCACCAGAGUGCACACGAGGGAAAGGGCUGCUGUGUUCUCAUUGCUGUCUCUGUCAUUCCUGUAAGGGACAUGGAGAGCCUGCUUCACACUUGGUCCUGAGACUCUCGGGGAAGGCAGAAGACCCUGCAGAACUUCAGGGUGCAGCUCUGUUUUCUGGCUCUGCUCUCUCAGCAGGGAUAAACCUUUCCGCAGAACUCUCCCUGCUGCCAUAAAAUGCCCUCUCUGCAGACUGGGACAUCCCCAGAUGCCAGGCAGACGGUGGCUCCGUGCCCUGUGCCCUCAACGCUCUGGUGGCGCCAAGGAGUUCUGCGUUCAGUACCUGACCUGCUGAGUGAGCUCAGCCCCUGCCACAUUAGUUACACAAGCGUUUCCCGAGAGACAAGCUGAAGCUGUCCUGCUCACCUGCUCCUCUGAGCGCAUCCUGGAGGCUGUGAGAUAGGCCGCAUGCAGAGAGAAAGCAUUGUUCUGCAACCUGCUCUCUCCUCAGGGGUGAGAAGGAAGCAGGGGAAAAAGAAAAAGAGGAAUUAUUGACCCCUUUGUUUUCUCUUUGAAAAAUGUAAUGGAGCUCUGAAGCCAGUUCAAGUGAUGCGGGGACAAAUUUUGAAUAAAGGGUGAUCUUGACUUGACACUCACUCCCUGGUGUCCUUCCUGGGAGUCAGGCUUUCAGGACCACAGGUCGCAUCUGCAGGGGUUGAUCUGCAGGUUUUGCAUUUCUAGGGUGACACUGGGACGUUUCUCACUGCCGGGGCACCAGACAACACUGUGAUAGCAGAAGUGAGCUGCAUCUGUCCUGUCCAUGCAGAGCCCCAGCCACGCCUGGCUGUGCCCCGGCAGCUGAGUGACUUCACCUCAGAUUUCCCUAAGGUGCUUAAAUUUAAGUGGGUGAAUGUGAUUAGUGUAUGGGGUACAGGUUAGUGCUCAAAACACUAUCACAGCAGCACUAGGACCAGCCACAACAUACUAGACUGUGUCACCCAGCCACAAGAAGGAAGAGGGUGACCGGCAAGACCUUCCUGUCCCCAGUGGGAACUUCUGCUCCUGGCUGUGCCCGGUCACCACCUUUGGCUCCACCGGCCAGCUGAGGGACUGCAGCCUGCUCUCUCCAGGGAGAAUGAGGUUGAGAUGACAGAAGAACACGCAUCACCUCCUGGGCUAGGUACUGUUCCCACUCGGAAGCUCUCCCUUCCGGUACGGACUCAGCGAGAGGGUGACCUGGAGCGCUAAGCGGAGGGGUAGAUGGGAGCUGGUGUUGGGGUGCUGGGGUGUUGGUGAGGUCAAGAGGCUGGAAAGCAGUGCAGAAUCUGCAGCUGGGUGGCCACAUCCUGGUUCAGGAUUUGGGGACACAGGCUCAGGAGUUGAUGUGAGUUCCCAAUCCAAGAGAGAGGGAGGCCCCAGAGCCAUGUGGGAGCAGACCACGAGCAUGAGAGGACCAGGAGGGACCUCUGUCCCAGGCCAGGAAUGGGGGAGAAAAAGGAGAGAACAGGUGGUGGGGCCUGGCUCCUGGGCUGGGUGCAUGCAUUCCAUCUCUUGGGUCCCAGGACAGCAGGGCAC